UGGGUUGGACCUAAUGUUCAGCUUGGAGUGAAACAGUGUGUUUGUGUGAGGUUAGGCUGCUGUCUGAGCAGGAGAGGGAGAUAAAACGAGACUGAUAAAGAGAGAGGGAGUAAGGGAGGGACCAAGAGAGAACACCUGUAGCAUGAGACACUGCACUCAAAGCAGACAUUCAGUAGAGAGAUUAAUUAAGAGAAGGGGAAGCAAAAAGGUGAGAAGGUAUUAGCAGCUCUCAGCUAACUGAACUUGAGCGGUAAAGUGAAGUUACUAAGUGAACACAGGGGGCAAGGCUGUCAACGCGACAAUGGUUUAACUUCUUCUGGACACCUGUUCUUCUGAACCAAGAGCACUUUUGAAAGAAGUGAACACAGCUUGUCAGAGCCCGUUAUGAACAAAUGCUCUAUGAAGGCCUCCCUUGAGAGGCUGAAGGCCACCUGGGAAGCUUGAUAUGCUGUGUUACAGGCCCAGAAGAGAGAGAAUAACAUUUAGGACACAAACGGCAGCAGUAUGAUGUCCAGGCCUCUGAAUACGGCAGGGCCUGGCUGCCCUUGAGUUAACCUCUCCUCUCCUCAAACAUUUAUAUCACCGGGAAGGCUUUGAACUUGCCGGUCUGUAAAGCACAUCCAGUCUGGCACAUUUCAGUAUGAAGGCUGUGACUCACAAUUCAGCAUAAACAAGUCAUAAUCAAUAAGCAUGAACAAUAAAACCAUUAAAUGAACCUUCAUACCACCCAAGCUGAGGAAAGCACCUGACUCUCCCAGGAUUAAACUUUACAGUCUUUUUCAGAGUGCAAUAAGAUCUCCUCUACAUACAUCUACAGUCUACUUGGCUACAAUAAACUAAGUGCAAUUAAGGUGAAAGAGUAGUAGCUGCUUCAAAAAGGGACUGAAUCCUGUCAUUAUGUAAUUGCAGAAGAUCAGUGACAAAUCCAGUGGAGACUGGAGAGUCUCUGUUUCCCCAUAAAAUGGCCAAAUAUUCCCUUGUGUUAGAAAUGCCUUCUUAUCUUCUAAACACUGCAACAUUACAUGAAAACGUUUGAUGUGUUGCAUUAAGGCUGUUGUUUUUGUCUCAGAACAUUUCUGGCAGUGGUUUCAGUGACCUCCAGAUAUGAUAAUCUCCAUGCAAGUGACCUCCUAUUGUGAAAAAAAAUUGAAUAA